rnacentral:rRNA from 1 species
GACAGGAGCUUGCUCCUGAAUUCAGCGGCGGACGGGUGAGUAAUGCCUAGGAAUCUGCCUGGUAGUGGGGGACAACGUUUCGAAAGGAACGCUAAUACCGCAUACGUCCUACGGGAGAAAGCAGGGGACCUUCGGGCCUUGCGCUAUCAGAUGAGCCUAGGUCGGAUUAGCUAGUUGGUGAGGUAAUGGCUCACCAAGGCGACGAUCCGUAACUGGUCUGAGAGGAUGAUCAGUCACACUGGAACUGAGACACGGUCCAGACUCCUACGGGAGGCAGCAGUGGGGAAUAUUGGACAAUGGGCGAAAGCCUGAUCCAGCCAUGCCGCGUGUGUGAAGAAGGUCUUCGGAUUGUAAAGCCCUUUAAGUUGGGAGGAAGGGCAGUAACUUAAUACUCUGCAGUUUUGACGUUACGACGAUAUGCGCUCGGCUAACUCUGUUCCCGCAGCCGGGUAUACAGAGGGUGCAAGCGUUAAUCGGAAUUACGGGGCGUAAGCGCGCGUGGUGGUUUGUUAAGUUGGAUUGAAGCCCCGGCUCACCUGGGACUGCAUUAGAACGGCCGGCUAGAAUUUGGUAGAGG